GUCUACGGCCAUACCACCCUGAAUGCACCCAAUGUCAUCUGAUCUCGGAAGCUAAGCAGGGUUGAGCCUGGUUAGUACUUGGGUGGGAGACAAGAAAAGUGUUUUUCAAAAGCUAUAUUUGGGAACAGACC
ensembl:rRNA 5S_rRNA 5S ribosomal RNA